CAGGUAUCCAGAUCCUGUGUAACAAAUGAAGCCCCCUCCCUUCUCUGCAGUCUGGGCAGAAGCCCGUCUUCAGAUGCAGAAUCCAGCACUGUUCCUGUUAAACUUCAUGCAGUGGUCAUUGCCCAGCUUUCUGAUUUGUCUAGAUCUCUCUGUGAGGCCUCUCCAUCCUUCUGAAAUUCAACAGGUCCUCCCAGUUUAGUGUCAUCUGCAAACUUGCUUAGUUUGCAGGACUUCUAGUCCUACAUCCAAGUCAUUUAUGAAAACAUCAAAGUGAACUGACCCUAAAAUGGAAUCCCACAGAACCUCAUCAGUGACCACUUGCUAUCCUGAUGUAGCCUCAUCUAAUAUGGGCCCUUUGGGCCUGACCCAUCAGCCAAUUGCUCACCUAUCCAUUAUGUUCCUGUCUACCAAUAUGCUGAACAUUUUGUCCAGGUUACUGUAAGAACUGUAAGAAAUGCUAUUGAAAGCUUUGCUGAAAUCCAAAAGGAUUACAUCAACUGACUUCCCUUGGUCAGCUAGGUGAGUAACCUCAUCAUGAAAGGAGAUUAAGUUCAUUAAACAGAACAUUCCCUUCAUGAAAGACCAACAUGGUGGGAACAUGUCGGUAGUAGGAAUGUUGUUCUCUGGUCCUUCAACUGGGCUGUGUCUGAAGGUGAAAGAUGCUAAGAGGUGAGGAUCCGGCUCUGGCAGUGGGAGCAAAGCUGCAGGAGGGGACCAGGCCUCCCUGGAGCUCACCUUCUCCAGCUCCGAGCACACAGCUCACACUUAGGAGAAAGACCUCUGAGCUGAAAGUCUGGAGAGAGGAGAGGAUUUCUUCAUUGUUCUCAGAUUGUGAAGGUGAGAGGCAACAGAGGUGAUAAGGGACCUGCUACUGGCAGGGCAGCAAGGAGCUCUUGCUGUAGGACAAGGGGAACUGGUUUCACACUAAAGAAGAGAAGAUUUAGAUUGAAUAUAUGGAAUAAGUGUUUUACAAUAACAGUGGUGAGGCACUGGCAAGGGUUGCCCAGAGAAGUGGUGGAUGAUGGGCUGGAGACAUCACUGGAGACAUUCAAGGUCAGGCUGAACAAGACUUUGAGCACCUUGAUCUAGCUGUAGACAUCCCUGUUCUUUGUAAAAGGGUUGGGAUAAAUGGUCUUUAAGGGUCCUUUCCAAGCUUUUUAACUCAAACAAUUCUGUGAUUCUAUGAUAAUUUAUCCAAUAGCAUUUGUGGGGGUUAAGAGGUUGUGGAACUUGGUCAAGAUUGUCAGGGUCAGUUUACGAGCUCUAAGGAGACUUAAACAAGUAACUUUGGCAUGUAGAAAUAUAAGCAUCUUUUGCAGAUGUACCCUCAUCCUGCAGGAUCUGUAUGUCUUUCUGUAAUGAGGCCUUGCCAAUUAACCUGAACACACGCUCUCUUUUCAAGGGUCACUUGCUUGUAGGAAGAUAUUAUUCAGAAAACCAAGGAACGGUGUCAUUUUCAUGAAAACUCAGCAAAGCAGUUAUGUCAUGGAAUGGCUGGAGGAAUUUAUCUUCUUUUCCCAUGUGUGACUAUAAUUUUUUUGGUAAUACAUCAGGUAAGAAGGAAAAGGUACAGUAGAGCUGAGCUCAUGCAACUAUGAAGCAGAUUCUUGCUCCAGUUGGGGCUAGGAGUCCGGAAAUCCAUAUGCUCUGGGUGGCACUACGGGCAGGAUUCCCUCUUGGGGUUGAUAAAAGACAACAUAUGUUGAUACUGGAGCAUGCUGAAGUGUUGGCUGCGAUUCAACCAGAAGCAAAGGAGUUUGUUUCUUUCCCUCUUGUUUCCCAGGUAUGGUAAGGGAGCAGCACUUUUCAUGAAAGAGCUUAAUGCACAUCUGAAUGUCAGCCUCCUCUCCUCUUGGCACAAACGCGGUUUCCAUCCUAGAGCUUCCUUGAGAUCCAAUUAGCAUCAAAUGGUAAAUAAUCUCCAAUAGCUUGGUGUGUCUGCCUGACUUCAGCACUGGGACCAUGCUGCUAAAUUCUGCAGAUCUGCAAGAAAGCUGGAGUCAAUAACUAAGAGGGCUUUCUCUUGAUUAACAGCCUGCGACCUUCAUGUCCUGAGCCACAAACGGACUAUGCAAACUCUGUACUCCCUCCUGGCAGUUUGGUCACAUGUUCUUAAGGCCAGCUCCAAUACAGUGCAGCUGAGGAAUGGAAGAAAGCAGAUGUCACUGCUGUUUUCGAGAAGAGCACAAAGAAAGAUCAGAGGAACUACAGGUUCAUCAGCCUCAUCUUGAUGUCUAUGAAGCGAUUAAUCCUGGAAACCACUUAUAGACACAUGGUGGACAUGAAGACUAUCAGGAGUAGCCAGGAAUUUACUUGAAUACACUGUUGUUUUAUCUGAAAUCCUCUGGAAAGUUAGAGUUACUAUAACAUGCUUUAUGCACAAUGGGAAGUAUGCAUAAGGCCAAGGGACAAAAUAACAAAGAGCAACCUUUGAAUAACACCUUUGACCCUCUAGACUCGUAUUAACAUCUGCUAGGCAAGGAAUACACUCUCAGAAAUAUCACAGAAAACACCACCAAAAGUGACUUCCAAAAACUUAUGUAGAACUGUAGGUGUUUAAUUUCUGUAGCUAAUAGACAAUAUUGUUUGCACAUGGCAUAGUUAUUAAAAAUAAGUUAUUCAGGCCUCACCUUUGUAUUGUGUAACAACAUUUUUAGAUAGAUCAAAUUAAUUGAACAUGUACAUCAUUUGCAGAACACCAUGUGAUAUGCCUAGGUCUGGUUAGUUAAUGUGUCCCCCAGAGUCUUCUUUUUCAGCAGGUACAGUUUUGUUUAAUUUUUCUCCCUUUCUGAGCAGAGAGAAGUUGAAGAGAAGAAAAAGCCUAUGAAUAAGGGAAGAAAAUAUUUACAUUUGUACAUGCUAUAUAUCUGGGGAGAAGCUAAGAAUGGCUUUCUGUGUACAGCCGUUCAGUUAGGCAAAUAGCCAGAAAUUAGUGCUGAUGGCUCACAGAAACACAGAAGGUACCUCUGAAGACCAUCUACGUCAAUCCCCCAAACAGGGUCAGGUAGAGCAAUCACAGCUUCAUGUAUUAAUGCUUAUUUCUCAUAUAAAAGGCAACUCCUCACCUUUGCUGCCCCAACCAAUUCCACAUGAAAAGCCUACAUCCAUCCACUGCAGCCCUCCAGCGUGGGAGCUACAAGCAUACACCUCCCAGAGGCAAGAAGAUCAUCUCUCUUGUUCCAGCUUCCACGAGAGGCCCAGCUCAGUAUCUGGUCACACAUUGUAUUAUCAAAGCUAUAAUUACUCAAAAAUCCCCUUACACUGCUCUUUUCCACUUACCACAAAUUUGCUAAGAAGACCACAGUGCAGAAGUGGAAAGUACCUGAAAUGUGCCGUG